rnacentral:misc_RNA from 1 species
ACGAGUUAGGGCCUCUGGCCCGAACCUCCAACCCUUUGUAUCAAAACCUCGUUGCCUCGGGGAGGCCCUGCCCUCACGGCUGGCCCCCCGAUGGACCACUAAACUCUGCAUCUGUAUGACGUCUGAGUAAAGAUUUUAAAUUAAAUCA